CACGCAGUAUGGAUUUAAGUUAGUGGAAUGUAGAGGUUUCCUCAAAAAAGUACAGUGUAUGUGAAAUACUGGAACAAAAAUAAUUUCUGAAAUGUCAUCUAGUUUAAUCUUCCAGCCUACGUUGUUUGCACUUAUUAUUCUCCAGGUGCACAGUGAUGUGACAGCUGUAAAUGGGAUGCUGGGUAGUUCUGUUACACGGCAUCAUGAAUAUCCUGACUUGGAACACCCUGUUCAUGUCACUUGGAACAAGGGAAAGACUUUGUUAAAUAGCUGGACACGUCGUACCAGGGCCACCGAAGGGAUGCGAACUGUCAGAGGAAUUGUAGGUGACUGUGUUAUGCUUGAUCUGUACAAUUACGUGAACAGGCAUAUUCAUGUUACCUGGAAGAAAGGCAAUAAGCAAGUGGCCAAGAUGAAAGGUCAGCCUGUACACGGCUCUGGAACAUACAGAGAGAGGUUUCAUGCAUUCUCCAAUGGCAGCUUGAGUGUUUGCCCCAUGCAGCCGGGAGAUGAGGGUCAGUACAUGGCAGAAGUGUUUGGUCAUGAUGGGGCAAGUUUGGGCCAUCAAAAAAUUCAGCUAGAGUAUAGCGGAAAUAGAACAGCACCUGUUCAAGAAGUAAUAGGAAUUGUUGGUGGCUCCAUGGUCCUACCUCUAGCAGCGAUGGAUUGGAAAGACUUGGUCCAGAUAAUGUGGAAGAAAGACAGCUUGUUGGUUGCUGAGUUAAAUUACUCUCAGUCGGAGUCCGAUGGGAGAUCCACCUAUAGAUCUCAGAUCUUACCUAAUGGCACGCUCAGACUGGACAGGAUUCAGGAAAGUGAUUGUGGACGGUAUUCAGUAGAAGUGCGAGACAGAGAUGGGAAGAUUCUAUACCAGAGAACGAUUGAUGUGAAAGUGGAACCAGCAACGGUGGCCUCAUCAGUUAUCUCGCAUUUACUGUUAUUCAGCAUAGUGGGAGUGCAUGUUGCUGUAUUCAUUGUUGUGUUGGGUUCACUUAUAUGGCAUUUUCGAAAGUGCAGACACAGAACAGGUCGCAUGACAAACCUAAGCUUCCGGAACGUGACUUUGGGCCAAAGUGGCUAUAAUGAGGACCAUGUAGAAUGUGGAGAGGGAGACACGAGCAGCCCUGACCAAGAAGAGAAUGGAAAUCCAGCUUCACAGGAACCAGAGGCUGCAAACUCCGCUGAGCAAGAGAAUGAAGCUUGCAUUAAGAAUGCUAAAGGGACUGAAGUGGCAACAGCUGCAAGCUUUUACACCGAGCAACCUCUGACUUUGAAUAUCUCCACUUUCCAAGGUAAGCAGAGACAGAAACAAACCCAGCCCCUAAACCACAUUUCAAACAAGAAAGCUGAUUAUUUAACCUAACUGAAGCAUUUCCUGUGACACUAAAGUCCAGGGCUCUCUUAGAUGCGAUUGCAGUGUAACUGUACUGAGCUCUAUUUCGAGUCUUGUGGGAGGCUGAAGCUGC
rnacentral:lncRNA from 1 species